AGUGAACGCUGGCGGUAGGCCUAACACAUGCAAGUCGAACGGCAGCACAGUAAGAGCUUGCUCUUACGGGUGGCGAGUGGCGGACGAGUGAGGAAUACAUCGGAAUCUACUUUUUCGUGGGGGGUAACGUAGGGAAAGUUACGCUAAUACCGCAUAAGACCUACGGGUGAAAGCAGGGGAUCUUCGGACCUUGCGCGAUUGAAUGAGCCGAUGGCGGAUUAGCUAGUUGGCGGGGUAAAGGCCCACCAAGGCGACGAUCCGUAGCUGGUCUGAGAGGAUGAUCAGCCACACUGGAACUGAGACACGGUCCCGACUCCUACGGGAGGCAGCAGUGGGGAAUAUUGGGCAAUGGGCGCAAGCCUGAUCCAGCCAUACCGCGUGGGUGAAGAAGGCCUUCGGGUUGUAAAGCCCUUUUGUUGGGAAAGAAAAGCAGCUGGUUAAUACCCCGCUGUUCUGACGGUACCCAAAGAAUAAGCACCGGCUAACUUCGUG
rnacentral:rRNA from 1 species